GGGUUGUGAGGUUAAGCGACUAAGCGUACACGGUGGAUGCCCUGGCAGUCAGAGGCGAUGAAGGACGUGCUAAUCUGCGAUAAGCGUCGGUAAGGUGAUAUGAACCGUUAUAACCGGCGAUUUCCGAAUGGGGAAACCCAGUGUGUUUCGACACACUAUCAUUAACUGAAUCCAUAGGUUAAUGAGGCGAACCGGGGGAACUGAAACAUCUAAGUACCCCGAGGAAAAGAAAUCAACCGAGAUUCCCCCAGUAGCGGCGAGCGAACGGGGAGCAGCCCAGAGCCUGAAUCAGUGUGUGUGUUAGUGGAAGCGUCUGGAAAGGCGCGCGAUACAGGGUGACAGCCCCGUACACAAAAAUGCACAUGCUGUGAGCUCGAUGAGUAGGGCGGGACACGUGGUAUCCUGUCUGAAUAUGGGGGACCAUCCUCCAAGGCUAAAUACUCCUGACUGACCGAUAGUGAACCAGUACCGUGAGGGAAAGGCGAAAAGAACCCCGGCGAGGGGAGUGAAAAAGAACCUGAAACCGUGUACGUACAAGCAGUGGGAGCCUCUUUAUGGGGUGACUGCGUACCUUUUGUAUAAUGGGUCAGCGACUUAUAUUCUGUAGCAAGGUUAACCGAAUAGGGGAGCCGAAGGGAAACCGAGUCUUAACUGGGCGUUAAGUUGCAGGGUAUAGACCCGAAACCCGGUGAUCUAGCCAUGGGCAGGUUGAAGGUUGGGUAACACUAACUGGAGGACCGAACCGACUAAUGUUGAAAAAUUA
rnacentral:rRNA from 1 species